GACUCCACAUGAUUUCAUGGGCAUUUAGAGUAGACCAUAAAUUUCAGUAUGUUUUUUGGUAGUAAUAUCUGCUUUGCAUAAUAGUGGAUAUUCAGAAUUGUGUGAGAACACCAUCCUGAGAAAAAUGCUGUUCUAGCAGUGACUUUGGUCAUCCCUUCCCAAAGAUACAUUUGAUCACAGAGUUCAGAACAAUGACCUUUGUUAACCUUCAUGUGAGUCUUUCAUACUGCAUGAUGGUAUGAAGAAGAAGACAGAGAAUCACAGAAUCAUGGAAGCAUAUAGGUUGGAGAAGACAUGUAAGAUCAAGUCCAUCUGAAAACCUAACCCUGCCAAGUCCACCACUAAGCCUUGUCUUUUAAGUGCCACAUCUACACACCUUUUAAUACCUCCAAGGAUUGUGACUCAAUCCCUUUGCCAGGCAGCCUGUUCCAAUGCUUGAUAACCCUUUUGGUGAAUAACUUGUUUCGUAAUAUCCAGUCUAAGUCUUCCCUGGUGCAACUUGAGGCCAUUUCCUCUUGUCUAAUCACCUGUUACCUGGGACAAGAAACUGACACCCACCUCACUACAACCUCCUUCCAGGUAGUUGUAGAGACUGGUAAGGUCUCCCCUGAGCUCCCUUUUCGCCAGGCUAAACAAGUCCAGUUCCCUUAGCAGCUCUUCAUAAGACUUGUGCUCUAGAUACUUCAUCAGCUUCACUGCCUUUCUUUAGCCAUGUUACAGCACCUCCAUAUCUCUCUCAUUGUCAGGGGCUCCGAACUGAACACAGGACUUGUGGUGCAGCAUCAGUAGUGCCAAGUACAGGCACUUUCCUGGUCCUGCUGACCACACCACUGCUGGUACAAGAAUCAAUGAAAGGCAGUU